UCCCCAUACGCACACAUAUUUCAUGGCCUGAAAACGCCCAAUACCAUUGGUACAUGGAUAUCAAGCGCAUCGAUCAAGCGCAUCUCCGGGGCAAAAAACGACGAUUCUCGCCUGACGGCGCCAGUUACCGCACUGCUCACCGCUGCUGAAGUCUCCGGCCGAUACCCGUCAGAGAGAACAUGAAAUUUCAGGGGGCUUUCUCUCUAUAAAUUCAUUAAUUAUUGCAGAUUUUCUCUCUUUAUUUUCUAGACCAGACACAUGAUUCGAAGCAUGGGACUCACUUCCGUCGUCUGCAACAAUGGCUUCAAAGUUCUUCCUGCUUACGAGGCCAGCCUGGUCAGGGUUUCGCCAGCCUCAGCGUUCAGGAUUAGUGUUCACCCCUUCUAUUCAGGUCGCAGGGGGUGUCGUCGAUGGCAUUGUCCGCCGAUUGGAUGUUCGAGAGGAACCGAGCAGGAGGAAGGGCUGUCUCGCUCAGUUACUUUGUUAUAGUUUCUCUGGAUAUAAUGUUUUGUUCAACUGCAUACCAGAAGGCGAGAUACCCAGUCCUCAAUCUUCUCACAGUAUUAACAGUGUUGAGACCUCUCCAACUAUCCUUUCAAGUAACCCGAAGGAAAAGAAAGAUGAAAAUGAAAAUUAUGGGGCUCAUGUUAGAACUGUUGUUAAAUGUGUAUGUGCAGCGGUUGCAUUUGGUAUUGGUUUGGGCUUCAAAGAUGGAGUUGGCAAGGCAUCUGAGUUUUUUGCUGGGUAUUUACUGGAGCAGAGUUUGUCAGUGGACAAUCUUUUUGUAUUUGUUUUGAUAUUCAAGUACUUCAAAGUGCCAAUUCCUUAUCAGAGUCGGGUGCUCUCGUACGGAAUUGUUGGUGCAAUCAUCUUCCGCUUGUCGCUGAUCCUUCUUGGAACAGUCACCCUUCAGAGAUUUGAAGCAGUAAACCUGUUGCUGGCUGCAAUACUUCUGUAUUCGUCAUUCAAGCUAUUUGCUGGUGAGGAAGAAGACUCUGAUUUAUCAGACAACUUUAUAGUAAAGACAUGCCAGAAAUUCAUCCCUGUCACGUCUACUUACGAUGGAAACCGAUUCAUAACAGUUCAAGAUGGUGUUUGGAAAGCCACACCUCUACUUCUAACAGUAGCAGUUAUUGAACUCAGUGAUAUUGCAUUUGCAGUUGACUCUAUACCAGCUGUUUUUGGUGUUACUCGAGACCCUUUUGUAGUUUUCAGCUCUAAUCUCUUUGCCAUCUUAGUUUUUUUCUUCUUGCAUGGUCUCAAGCUCCAAGGCCUCCGGCUUCACUCUCCGGUUGGCUGGAAAAGCCAUUUCUGAAGCAUGCUACUUGAUGGCCCCACAAAGUAAACCACUGUUGCCUCAGAGAUUGCCUAGAUCAUUCUACUGCCUCUUGCCUGAAAACCCUGACCUGCUCUGAGUGCUCUCCCUUCCUUCUGGGUCCCUUUCCCUCUCCAAGCUUCCUCUCCACCAUCAUCUUCUGUUCUCUCUUGUUGUUUUCUUUUUCAGGUAACGUUCUGUGCAUUGCUAAAAAUUUUCUCCUCCUAAUCUGACCACUUCUGCUUCAUCUGCAUUUUUUUUUCUCUUUUUAGAUUUUUUUCCUCAUUUCCACAAACAUUUGUUCUUCUGUGUUUGGUGCUAUACGAAGUGUUUACAGUAGGAAACUGACGAUUUUUUGCUUCAGCUGCAUUUACCCCUGUUUUUGAGCUAUUUUUUUGCUUAUUUCUUGACGUAAAUAUUUGUUUCUUGUUGUUGCUUCUAUGUGAAGUGUUUUAAGCACAAAGCUGAUGAAUUUUUGACUUCGGCUGCAUUUUUUUUUCUCUUUUUGAGCUAAUUAUAUACUUUUCAUUUCAUCUCUGUUGAUAAACCUGUGAACCAAUCACACAGCCACAGGACCAAGACCAAGAGAAGUACCAAGAAACAAUACGAAAUUGGAAGCCAAAACAGAAACAAAUAUCACAACACAACGCACCCAAGAACAAAGAGAUUUCGGAUCAAAAGAUCCUACUCACGGCAGAGGCUCCACCUCUAGUCAAUCUACUAGAAUAAUCAAGGAAUUUACAGAAUACAUAUACGCACAAGAUCAUCAUGGCAACUCACAAAUUAGAAACCAUAACAACGAGAAAUGCAAACGAGUACAAUGCUCAAAAUACCCGAGCAACCCAGCCCUCAUAUCUCAUCAAUCUCUCACAAAAACCACCCCAAGUGAUACAUACUAACUGUGAGACAAGAUUGGAAUCGCACGCUUUUUUGUUCCUUCUGAUUGCCGAGUUCGCCUUUCCCGUUCUUCGAUCUUGCUCAUUCGUUCUGUUCUUCUUCUUGCCUUUUCUCUCUCUCUAUUUCAGAUUAGGGUUUCUCGUGUGUGAAAGUGUAAGAGAAAAACCUUUUGUCUUAAUUCCCCCAAUUUGUUGGCUAUGAAGCACCAAACGACAUCAUUGGAUUAAGCUGGUUGGAGGGUCACGUGCAGCAACUGCAGCCUGCCAAUUGGUAGCUAUUGGAUGGCAGCACAUAGCAACCAUCAGCUGCUCUCUGAUGGCGCCCAAUUGCCUUUUUCUUGCCUGAUCUAAUUCCUUGCUCGUCUGCCAUUUCUGUUGGAAUAAUCAUCGUGCUUGCACGAUUGGAUCUCAGCCCUUCAUCCAUGCUUUAUGAGGCCUGUUCCAAGCCAUCCAUCAUCGCUUUUAAUCCCACCCCCCAAGAUGUGAACCGGUCAAAUGAUUGAGACGAAAGAAUCGAUAAGAAACAAAAGAAAUGGGGAAAGAAAGAUCGGGCAGAUGGGAGAACCUUCGUCUUCAGGCUAGGGUUUCUGGUUUGCAUCUAUUUCAUUCUCUGUAUAUGCUUGUAUAGCUUGGUAGUUAUAUGGUUCGAUAGGUUUUCUGCCUUUAAUCUGUAUUGUGUGAUUAUUGGGCAUUUUUGAGUUCACGAACCAUUGAUUGUACAGAUAGUUUAUGAGGGUUUUGUGAGGGUGUAAUCCUUGAUUCAUUACUUAGUGCAGUGAGCUCUUCUCACCAGAGCUUAACGUGGAUGUAGCCUCUUUUGAGGUGAAUCACGGUAAAAUCCUCGUCUCCCUUUAUUGUUGUCGUUUCUGUGUUUAUCGUUUCCACUUUGUGUAUGUGCGUUCUGCUUCCGAUUUUGGCUAUCUUUAAUCUUUGAUUGAAUUGGUUUCGGUAAAUACCCUAAGGUAUUGUUGUUUAGUCCCAACAAUCUCCAUAAACAUUUAUUUCUCUGUUACUGCUAUCUGAAGUGGUUACAGUAGAAAGUUGAUGAUUUUUUACUUUAUCUGCUUUUUCUAUCUAAUAUUUUUGUUUUUUGUGUUGCUCCUCAGCUGAGUGUAAGCCUCCUAGCAACGGAUUUUAUUUGUUGUUAUUGCAACAUUCUGUUGUAUGUGAAAUUGUUUCGGUAUAAAACAAAAUUUUCAACAUCAUAUAGAAUAAAAAAAAAAAUCAACACAAGCAUAGGCCUCAAAUAACGUUUUGGUUUUUGUUUUAGAUUCUUGAAAGCAGGUAGCAUUAUCAACACAAGAAUCUGAAAAUGAGAACGGCAAAUGAUCACUUGAAAAUUAACAAUAAAAUCAAAUGGGCCACUGGAUAACAUUUUCUAUUUGAUCUGUCAAUCUGCUUCUCCUUAUUAGGUAAUGAAUGUUUCCUUAAAUGGAGCUCUAUUUGUUCUUCUACUCAAUUAUCUACUAAUUAAAACACAAGGGCAUCAGUGUAGCAAAGUUUAGCCCCUUCAUUGACGUCAUCUUGUUCUACAAAUGUAGGUCUGAGGUCGCUGUACACCCUUAUUUCUGAGGGUAUGUCCGACUUGGAGUAUUUACAGCCAUCCAUUGGAGUUGUUCUGGGCUUUAUUGGGUUGAAAAUGAUCUUAGACUUCUUUGGUUAUCAUGUAUCAACUGAAGUUUCUCUUGGU